UCAAUCCCUGGUCGGGGAACUAAUUUUCCGCAUGCCAUGUGGCACAGCCUAAAAAAAUGAAAAGAAAAAAAAAAAGAAAAUGGAAUCGUUCCUUUUCAGCCUGUGAGCAUCUCUUCCUCUGUGUGGCCCCACCAGAAAUGAUUUGGUGUUUGUAAUUAUGCUGUCUUGGGAAAGGUGGAAUAUUGAAUGAGAACUGAAGGUUAUUAUAAUAAAAAAUGAGUGAUGGGGUAAAAAUGCAAAAUCUUCUCAGGCGGACUGGGCAAGACCCUCUUGCCUUUUCGGUGGCAAAGGCCAAGCAAUGGUCUGUUGAUCUUGCCCUCUGUGAGUUACAGAAUGGCCUUUGCUUAUAAAUCCAUGGAGCUGAAGAUCAUGCAGAGGACUUGCCACACUCGCUUAUUUACUCUAGGAUCAGACACAAGAUGUCAGUUAAUCUCUGUUAUACUAGGGUUGCAUAUUUCCUUCCUCCACCCACUAGUUCUGGCCCCCAAAUUGCUUCUGAACUAGCCCUGCCUGUUGGCCAGAAGAGACUGGCAAAUGAUCAUUCCUCAGGAUAGCCAGAGCUUGUAUAUCAGGCUGGAAUGCUGUCAGAAGAAAUGUAAUUAUCGUCCUGCCACGGGUAGACUGAGACCCAUGUUAAUAUGAGGAAAAGACUAGUUCCUCCAUCCUUGUAUUAAAAGGCUUAGGGUAUGGAGGUCAGUUGUAAAUAUUGGACAGGUGACCUUUGCCUGCCUGCUGGGUGGGUCAGAGCUCUAAACACACAGGCAACAUGUAUGAGGAUACUGUUUCUUUCUUGGGCAAGAGAGAACAAGGACUGGCCCGUUUUGAGUGAUUAUUAUUCUAUCCUCCAUCUAAAGAGUCAGUCCAGGGGUAAUUAGUGAGGGUCUGCUAUGAGGAAGCCACUCUGCUAAGAG